AUUGAACGCUGGCGGCAGGCCUAACACAUGCAAGUCGAGCGGAUGCAGGGAGCUUGCUCCUGGAUUCAGCGGCGGACGGGUGAGUAAUGCCUAGGAAUCUGCCCGGUCGUGGGGGAUAACGUCCCGAAACGGGCGCUAAUACCGCAUACGUCCUGAGGGAGAAAGUGGGGGAUCUUCGGACCUCACGCUAUCAGAUGAGCCUAGGUCGGAUUAGCUAGUUGGUGGGGUAAAGGCCUACCAAGGCGACGAUCCGUAACUGGUCUGAGAGGAUGAUCAGCCACACUGGAACUGAGACACGGUCCAGACUCCUACGGGAGGCAGCAGUGGGGAAUAUUGGACAAUGGGCGAAAGCCUGAUCCAGCCAUGCCGCGUGUGUGACGAAGGUCUUCGGAUUGUAAAGCGCUUUAAGUUGGAAGGAAAGGCAGUAAGUUAAUACCUGGCUGUUUUGACGUUACCGAAAGAAUAAGCACCGGCUAACUUCGUG
rnacentral:rRNA from 1 species